GCAUGUGCAUGCAUCCUCACAUAAACGCGUGGGUCCGCCUCUGUAUACGACCCCAAGUACCUUCAAUUAUUCAAUUGAGAAGGUAAUGAAUAGGCACUAGCAAACAUAGUUGUACUAAUUGCAAAUUCUUGUUUGCAAAUUUACUAGCAAAAGAGAAAGAUUGAGAGAUAUCAGUGAUCAUUCUUGUUUGGGAAUUACUCUUAGCAUUCAACAGGUAAAGUAAAGUUGUUAGUAAUUGAAGAUUGAAAAAUUUAUCUUCUCAAAAUUCUUAAAAAAUCAUUUUGUGUUCUCCUUGUUUUGCUUUGCAGAUUUCAGAAAUGGAGGUAGUUGGUGGAGCAUUUCUCUCUUCAGCUUUGAAUGUUCUCUUUGAUAGGCUUGCUCCUGAGGGUGAUCUGCUCAACAUGUUUAAGAUGGACAAGCGUGAUGUUCGGCUCUUAAAGAAGCUGAGGAUGACUUUGAUUGGUCUUCAAGCUGUGCUAAGUGAUGCAGAGAAUAAGCAGACAUCAAAUCAAUUUGUGAGCCAGUGGCUUAAUGAGUUUCGACAUGCUGUCGACUCUGCUGAAAACUUAAUGGAAGAGGUCAAUUAUGAAGCUUUGAGGAUCAAGGUGGAAGGUCCGCAUCAAAAUCUUGCAGAAACAAGCAAUUACCAGCAAGUAAGUGACCUCAACCUGUGCUUGAGUGAUGAUUUCUUUCUUAAAAUUAAGGAGAAGUUGGAAGAUACUAUUGAAACAUUGAAGGAUUUGCAAGAGCAAAUUGGUGACCUUGGGUUAAAGGAGCAUUUUGGUUCGACUAAACAAGAAACUAGAACACCUUCAACUUCUUUGGUUGAUGAUUCUGAUAUCUUUGGCUUUGGUAGGCACAAGGAAAUAAAGGAUUUGAUUGACCUUUUAUUGUCUGAAGAUGCAAGUGGAGGAAACCUGACUGUAGUUCCUAUUGUUGGAAUGGGCGGUGCGGGUAAGACAACACUAGCUAAAGCGGUUUACAAUGAUGAGAAGGUGAAGAACCAUUUUGGUUUGAAAGCUUGGUAUUGUGUUUCUGAGCCAUAUGAUGCUUUGAGAAUAACGAAAGGGUUACUUCAAGAAAUUGGCUCAUUUGACUCAAAGGAUGAUGGCAAUCUUAAUCAGCUACAGGUCAAAUUGAAGGAAAGCCUGAAGGGAAAGAAGUUUCUUGUUGUCCUUGAUGAUGUGUGGAAUGAUGACUAUAGUGAGUGGGAUAACCUGAGAAAUGUUUUUGUACAAGGAGAUAUGGGAAGUAAGAUCAUUGUAAUUACACGUAAGGAGAGUGUUGCUCAGACGAUGUGUGCUGAUUGUUGCGCAAUCACCGUGGGGACUCUGUCUAGUGAAGACCCUUGGGCUUUAUUCAAACGACAUUCACUAGAAAAUAGGGAACAUCCAGAACUUGAAGAGGUUGGGAAAAAAAUUGCAGUGAACUGCAAAGGGUUGCCUUUAGCUCUAAAGGCACUUGCUGGUGUUUUGCGCGGCAAAUCAGAGGUGGACAAGUGGAGAAACAUUUUAAAAAGUGAAAUAUGGAAGCAGCCAAUUCGUUUGAAUGGUAUACUGCCAGCAUUGAGGUUGAGCUACAAUGAUCUUCUUCCAGAUUUGAAGCGAUGUUUUGCUUUUUGUUCAAUAUAUCCCAAAGAUUAUCAAUUCCGCAAAAACCAAGUUAUUUACCUGUGGAUUGCUAAUGGUCUUGUAAAGCAGUUUUGUUUAGGUAACGAAUACUUUGACGAGUUGAGAUCAAGAUCAUUGUUCGAACGGGUCCCAGAGUCUGAUUGGCUAUCGGAGAGAUUCAUAAUGCAUGACCUUAUCAAUGAUUUGGCCCAAACUGCAUCUUCAAAACUUUGUAUUAGGUUGGAAGAGAGCAAAGGAUCUGAUUAUAUGUUGGAACAAAGUCGGCACAUGUCCUAUUCCACUGCCAAAGUUGGUGACUUUGAGAAAUUGAAACCACUCUCCAAAUUAGAGCAGCUGCGGACAUUGCUUCCAACCAAUGACAGUUACUUUAAUCAGCUAAGCAAGAGGGUGUUGCAUAACAUACUUCCAAGACUGACAUCCUUAAGGGCAUUAUCAUUGUCUCGUUACUAUAUUGAUGAGUUGCCAAAUGACUUGUUUAUCAAAUUAAAUCUCCUCAGAUUUUUGGACCUUUCUCGGACAGAUAUUAGACAGUUGCCAGAUUCUAUUUGUGCAUUGUAUAACUUGGAAACACUUCUCCUGUCAUCUUGUCAAAAUCUUGGGGAGCUACCGCUGCAGAUGGAGAAGUUGAUCAACUUGCGUCACCUCGACAUAACCAACACUCUUCGCUUCAAGAUGCCGCUACAUCUGAGCAAGUUGAAAAGUCUCCAAAUGCUAGUGGGAGCCAAGUUUCUUAUAGGUGGUAGCGGUGAUUUGAGAAUGGAAGAUUUGGGUGAAGUACAUAACUUGUAUGGAUCUCUAUCAGUUUUAGAGUUGCAAAAUGUGGUUGAUAAAAGGGAAGCUCUCAAGGCAAAGAUAAGGGAGAAGAAUCAUGUUGACAAGUUAUUAUUGAAGUGGAGUGAAAGUAGUACUGCCGCCGCCGAUUCUCAAACUGAAAGAGAGAUACUUGAUGAGCUACACCCACACACAAAUAUUAAACAACUCCAAAUCACCGGAUAUAGAGGGACAAAAAUUUCAAAUUGGCUAGCUGAUCCUUUGUUUCUUAAGCUUGUAGAAUUGUCUCUUAGCAACUGCAAGGACUGUGAUUCUUUGCCAGCACUAGGACAGCUUCCUUCUUUGAGAUUCCUUUACAUUAGAGGGAUGCAUGGAAUAACAGAGGUGAUGGAAGAAUUCUAUGGUAAUUCAUCCUCCAAAAAGCCUUUUAACUCUCUUGAGAAGCUUGAAUUUGCAGAUAUGCCAGAGUGGAAGCAAUGGCACGUACUAGGAAGUGGCGAGUUCCCUUUACUUGAGUACCUUUCAAUUAAAAAAUGUCCAAAGUUGAUGGGGAAGUUGCCUGAAAAUCUUUGUUCUCUGACAAAAUUAAAAAUUUCAGAGACACCUCUUUUUGAGGAAGCUCAACUGUUUAGAUCCCAAUUUGAGGGAAUGAAGCAGAUUGUUGAAUUAGAUAUUAGUGAUUGUAACUCUCUUACUUCCUUACCUUUUAGCAUACUGCCCAGUUCCUUGAAGAUAAUAGACAUAUAUAGGUGUGAGAAAUUGAAAUUGGAGGAGCCAGUUGGUUAUUGUAAUAUGUUUCUCGAGGAAUUGAAACUCCGACAUUGUGAUUGUAUAGAUGAGUUUCUCCCAAGAGCACGCAAAUUGUCUAUUUCGAGUUGCCAGAACGUUACUAGGUUUUUGAUUCCUACUGCCACUGAAAGUCUCUGUAUUUUUAGUUGUAAGAAUCUUGAAAUACUUUCGGUGGCAGUUGAGUCUGCGAUGACGUCUUUGGAAAUUUGGGAUUGUGAGAAGCUCAAGUGUCUGCCAGAAAUAGAGCUCUUCAAUUUACAAGUCCUUAAGAUCAGUGAUUGCAAGAAACUCGUGAACGGCAGAAAGGAGUGGUGUUUACAGAGAUUCCCAUGUCUCACAGAGUUAAGCAUCUACCAUGAUGGAAGUGACGAAGAGAUCCAACAUUGGGAGUUGCCUUCCUCUAUUAAAAGACUUACCAUGAAGAAUCUGAAAACAUUAAGCAGCCAAGUUCUCAAAAGCCUCACCUCUCUUCAAUAUCUAUCUAUUGCUGAUUUACCUCAAAUUCAGUCACUGCUGGAAGAAGGUCGGCUUCCCUCCUCUCUUUCUGAGCUACAUUUAUAUCACCAUGAUGAGCUCCAUUCACUACAUCUUUGCCACCUCACUUCACUUCUAAGUCUACACAUCUUUAAUUGCCCUAAUCUCCAAUCACUCUCCGAAUCAACACUGCCCUCCUCCCUCUCUCAGCUGACCAUAGAUGAUUGCCCUAAUCUCCAAUCACUCUCCGAAUCAACACUGCCCUCCUCCCUCUCUAAGCUGACCAUCCGGAGAUGCCCUAAACUUCAAUCACUCUCCGAAUUAGCACUGCCCUCCUCCCUCUCUCAGCUGACCAUAGAUAAUUGCCCUAAUCUCCAAUCCCUUCCAGUAAAAGGGAUGCUCUCUUCCCUCUCUGAUCUAUAUAUUCACAACUGCCCAUUGCUCAAACCACUACUAGAAUUUGACAAGGGGAAAUACUGGCCAAAUAUUGCUCAAAUUCCCACCAUAUUUAUCAAUAGGGAAUGCAUGUGAUGAUUAAAACAAAUGGUGCUCCCACUGAUGUAAGUUAUUCUUUUCCCUCAGAAACUUGUUAUUUUUGUUUUCUUCACUUUUCUUUUUUGCUAAUUUUUUUCCUUUUCUUUUUUUAUAUCCUGUUGAGCAGUGUGGAAUGUCUUUUGCUCAAUCCACACCGAAAAUUGCUCAUACUUCCACCAUAAAUGUUGAUUGGGAGAACCUGUAAUGAUUAUCACAAGUGGUGCUCCGAUAGAUAGAUGUAAGUUAUUCUAUUUCCUUAGUAUCUUUCCAUUUUUGGUUAAAUUCUUUUUCUUUGUUACAUCUUUUUGACCAGUGUGUAGCAUCUAUUGCUUCCGUGAAGUCGAGGAAAUAGCUAUAGAUCAGGAUAAACUCUUUAUAUUUGCAUUGAGACAUUGUAAAAGAAAAUCAUAUAUUGCUAUAAGUGGGAACAAAAAAGUUAAAAGUUGAUUUACGAUUUUACCCCUACUAUAAAUUAAAAGAAUAUUAGGAAAAAGUUAGAUUAAUCGUUUUACCCCUACAUUAAAUUAAAAUGUUAUAAGCUAUUAAUAAAUUAAAUAUUAAAUAAUAAUUAUAUCAUACUAUUAUAUUAUUAUACUAAUGCUAAUCAGUAUAUACCUGCUUGUUAAUUUUAUCCAUUUUUGGCUUUUGAUUUUCUUCCUAAUCUAGAUUACUCUCCCAUUACCUAUGAACAUUCACUUAUUGCUAUAAUAAUAAUAUUAAAGAAGGUGAAUGAAGAGUUGCACAGAAUUAAUUAUGAGAAAUGUUCACUUAUUGCUCCAACAAUAAUAAUGAUGAAAAAGGAGAAUGAAGAGUUGGGGUAAUUUCUAUCCGAGUCAAUAUUAUAUUUGUAUAGCAAAGAGGUCACUCAAUGGUUAUAUAGCAAAAAUGCAUGAUUGUUAAACAAACUUUUCAUUUCACUCUAAAUACAUUAGUUAUCACAAAUCACUUUCAUUAUAUUCUUUUAUUUUUUACAGGAGAAAAAUGUACAUAUACAUUCUAAAACUUCAUACAGAGCUUGCAAUGUGAUGGGAACGGAUGUUUAAAAUCUUUGCGGAGGUUGAAAUUCAUCUUUUUAUAAAGAUGGCCUUCUAACAAGCAUAAUAAGUAACUACUACAUUUUCAUGUUUUGAAAACUGAUUUUUUUAAUAUUUAAUUUUUAGGCAAUUAUUGAAGGAAUUCAGCAAGUUUUUACUGAUUUACAUACUUUGGGUAAGUGAGAUGGAAACUCUCUUCUUCCUUUCUUUGUCAUUUCACUUAAUUAUGUUAUGUAAGUUGAUCAUCGAAAAGGUGCUACAUUUAUCAUUCUUUCAUUAAAUUUAUUCCUCUUAUUUUAUUAGAGCUUAGUUUUUCGUGUUUCAUAUCAUACGUAGCUAGCUACAAUCUUUGGAAGAAAAUUAUUAUAGAUAAUAAUGGUCAUAUCUAAGUAUGUUGAUUACCUAAUGUUUUAUUGAAUCCAUGUUAGUAAUGUUUAGGUACACUUCUUAAAUUUAGAGCAAGAGUUCCUUGAUAUGUCAUAUACCAUCAGAUGCUAUAUUAUUUUAAUUAGUGUUACAUAAUUCAACAUAUCUUAUUUUCCAAAACAAAUAACUAAAAGUUAAAUGAAAAGAGUUAGUUGUCACCCUUGUAUUUGUAUAGAGAAACAUAUAUUUAGAUAUUUUAGUCUAGAAGAUUAUAUUUGAAAUCCUUCUUUUCAUUUAUUUUUGGAUGCAAAAGUAAGCUUUAUAUAGAAACAUAUUAAUCAAUACAAGAUUUAUCAUAUUUAUAAAAAUAUAAUGUGAUAAAUAUUUAUAUCGACAUGAUAUUAGACUUAUAUAAAUUUUAGAUCAUAAUAGAAGACAAACGUGCAGCGCACGUUUUCAGAACUAGUCUAGUAUAGGUAGGAAUUGAGAUAAUUUGCUCCAGAAAGUUGAUUGUUUAAUAUGUAUCAGCAGGAUGUUUAUAGCAAUUCAUUUAUGAUCUUGUGACAAAUAUCAGUCUUCAUCUUAGUUGGCUAUUACGACACACUUUUCUUGUCUAUUAACAUAUGUUCUCUCUCACAUCUUGUAGACUGAAAUAUCUCCACCAUAGAAGUCGAUGGAGAAUACAUUUAAUGAUUAAAGCGAAUGAUGCUCUCACAAAUGUAAGUUUUUCUUUGUCCUCAGAAGCUUUCUAUUUUUGUUUACUUCCCUUUGCUUUUCCUUUGUUAAGAUCUUCUUGAGCAGUAUGGAGUAUUUAUUGCCACUAUGAAGUCGAGAAAUCAUCUUCAGUUCGAGAUAAAUUUAAUUUUAGAUAACCAAUAAAAAAACAAAGGUGAAAAAAUCUUUAUAUUCGUGUGGGAACACUGUAAAAUGAAAUCUAAUAUACAUAGGAAUUAAAAUAAUCUGCUCCACAAAAUCUUGUUCUUUCCGUUUCAGUGAGUUUAGAGUUAUGCACAUGUUCACUAUUGAAUUCAAAGCUUUAAUAGAAUUCAAAGGUGUACAAUACACAAGGUUUGUUUCCUAUCUAUCAAAAAUAUAUAAAAGUUUGCCUCCCAAUAAAUUUAAUACCUAUAAACAUCAGCACUAUUCAAGUUUUUAUUAAUGAUUAUUGGAUAUCAACUUAGCAGUUUUUUUCUUUGUCAGGAUUUUGGUAACAGUAUAUGUAAGCUAUUACCGCUCUAGCUCAGUUUGUACCAGGAAAGUUCUGCUGCAAUUCUCUAUUGAAUAGACCGUUGCUACAAUGUGGUCUGACAGCAAAGUGUAAGUGAAUAAACAUAGUUUCGCAGUUUUGUCGCUGACUGUAAAUAUUAAGUUUAUGCUUUAAACUGUUUAAACAUAAAUCUGUGUGAUCAUUAGAAUGAUGUAUAUCUUUGAUAUUAAUGAUGUUUAAUAUUCUUUUCAAAAUAUAAAUUAUGUUGUGCUUAUCAUCAGACUUGCUGCAAAUGGGACGUACAGCUCUGAUGGAACCCAAAGGUACAUGAUAAAAAGUUUUUAAGUAACACACAAGAGAGAUAUUGACAUUAUGGUCAUAGAUUAUAAGGAAAGAUAUUACUUUUUCAUUGUUAGGAUUUUGACAAGGCUCGGUGCUCAUUUGGGAAGUGAAAAGUUUCGAAGGUCUCUCUGUUCAAGUCAAGAAGUGAAAGCUAUUGAACUAUGUAUGUAAUAGCUUGUAUUGUUUACUUUGGGUCCUAUGCUCCUUCGACUUUAAAAUGCCUCAUUUGGGUCUAAUGUCACUUCUUUUUAUUCCAACAAUCAAUAUCGUUCUUGCGUUUUGUUGAUGUGGUAUAUGCCUAGGCUGCUACAAUGUUGUUCUUUUUACUCUAGAUACCAAGACGGAAAGCAAGAGAUGACACAAUUAUUGAACUUUCUGUAUUGAGAAAUCGGAAUUUCUGGAAAACUAUACUAGUGAAUUAUAAUCCCGGGAGCCUUUCCCCUCAAGCUCUCAAGAAAAGGCAACAAAUCGUCACUCAAAUAAAUUAGUAGCGGGUUAUUUGGGAAGCGAAAAGUUUCGUAGGUCUCUCUGCUCGAAUUGAGAAGGGAAAGUUGCUUUCAUCUUAAUACCAUAUGGUCUGAUACAUCACUAAUCUCCACUGCUCGCAAUGGAUAUAAAUUACUGCUCUUUGCGGAUUGAGACUGACACACAAUUAACUAAUCUGGCUCAUAUAUGGACACGAGUCUCCACUCAUCUAUUAUCUUUGAUUAUAUUGGACCACCUUCGACACGAACCGUCCCUGUAAAUUUUCCAUUCAAGUUUAUGUGAAUAAACAAAGCAUUUGUGUUGAGUUCGAAAGAGAUUAGGGCGUCAUGCGCUAGCUUACAAUUGCAUAUUAUAUGUUAAUAAAUCAGAUAACAAAAACUUGUACUAAAAAUCAAAAUAUUAUUAUAUGAUUUGACCAAAUGACCUACAUAUUUAAAAACUAAUAAAAAGACAUUAAAACUUGAAAGAUUUCAAAGAAAUCUUGAAGAAUUAUUUGGGAAAUUUUUCUCUAUUUUCACUGAACCAAAAUUGUACAAAGAGUUGCUUACUUAUCCAUGUAAACUAAGGACUAGAAAGUCAAUUUAAAAGGAAGUAGGUAACCAACUCUGACUAUAUACUUUACAGCUCAUCAUAUUCUAAAAUAAUCUAAAAAAUCUCUUCUUAUACAAUGUGAAUUAAUAUAAGCAACGUUGUAUAUUGAAAUGGGCUGCUGAAAUGGCAUUUGUGUGCUUCAGAUGGGAUGAAACCCAAAGAUAAAAUAUCAGCCCCAAGAGACGUGCAUUCUAGAAUAAGGCUCUCAACCCGUGUCCGAAUAAAGCUCAUCUUCUUCAUUCUUGGUACUGCCAGUCGGUGAUCAUGAGUUCCAACAAAACUGUAGAGAGUAAAGACUAUCUGAACGAUUAUAUUGUGGAUGUUAUUAUGUUCAUAGUGUGAGAAGUUGGGUUUUCUAUUUAUAGGACGUUUAGAAUAAACCAAAUAUGGAAAAUAAUUAUAUUUUUUUUUCAGAAAAAAUUCAAGCAUUUAUGUUAAUACUUUGACUUUUCUUUUAUGAAAAUAAACUUCAAAUAAGGUAAAAAAAUCAAAGCAACCAAAAACAAAGGAAAAGAGAGAGAUUACAUAGUAUCACACAUAGCAAGGCAGCAAGGCUAAUAUGACACAAACAAGACCAUAGUAGAUAAGUAUGGUGCACGUCAUGGUUUAUUUUGUAAAACUACGUAUUAAAUGAAUAUAUUUUUUAGAAUUGAUCUAAUAUUACUUGUUAUCCAUGCUACUAAAAAUAAGAAGUUCAAGUCAUCAUCAACUAAGUUUUGAGUUGGUAAGAAUCACUGAUACUACAAAUUUUCUUGAUAAAAGAGUGUUUACAACUUAUUAAACCUCAUAGGUUUGAAAGCCAUGAAUCAAAUAAGAAUAAGAAGUCUGGGACCCAAUGGCAAUAUGUAACUCGUAAGUUUUGAAAGACAUUUUAUUAGAGAGAAAUUUACGUUGUUUCUAUGUUUGUGUUUUGUUGGAUGUUUGGUGAAAAAAGUAGAUCAUCUCCUAUUGCAUUCUUUAGUUGGUUUAUAACACAAUGAGUGAUUCAACAUCUAUUUAUAUUUUUGAUUUAGAAAUAUUAUUAUACACUUGUAGAUAAAACUUCCAACAACAUAGAAAUAUGUUAAAUCUGAUUUACUUAUGCAACAAAUAUUAUAUCUUACGGGUAGAACGAACAAGGAACAUGAAAACUAAAUGUUUUUGUUAUCGGGUUGACUAAACAGGAUACAGAAAAAUCAUGUCUUUGAAUUGCAUAACAAAGAGUGUACUGAUAUUUUAUACUUUAUAAUAUCAUCACACGAAUUUUAUACUGAAGAUGUGUGCCUUUUUGUUGUCAAUUUUUUUGCAGUGAUACAAAAGCAGAUAGUGAAGACAGGUCAAAGAUUCUACUUUGAUGAAUUCUUUUUCAAUUCUUCAUCAAGAGACGAUUUAGAGUUUUUGGUAAAACUUUCUCUUUCACCAAGAGUCUCCAGCAAAAUGGGCAAUAAUUAGUUUAUCAGGAGUUCAAGUAUAUCUCGAAUUGGUUAUGGGUUAUUGCAAGUGCUUUUGGUUUUUACGUUUCUUUUCUAAUUUUUGUGGUGUUUGAAACAGAUCAAAAAAUAUUUUUAAACACUUAUUUUUAGACCCAAAAGAAGUAUAAAAAUAAGCUAAAGGCCAAAGGUAGGUAUUCCCAACUUAUGAGUUUAGCUUUUAGCUUAUAAGAUACUUUUAAAAAGUUAAUCCAAACACCCUCUUAAACUUUUAAAUUAAUUUUAAUUAAUAAGAUGUUAGCUAUUUGUUUAUAAUAUAUUAUCUUGAUAUGGUUGUAAAAACUUUAUUUAUCAAUAUGAAUAUUUGAAUUGUUUAUUUCAAAAUUCUAAAAAUAUUUUUGAUAAAAAGUAAAAUAGGUUCUCUUUCUUUAUUUUUAAUUUAAAUUUUGAGUUUUUUUCUUACAAAAAGGUACAAAAUUUAUAUAAAAUAGAAUAAAAAGGCAACUUUAAAUUAUUAUUAUUAUGUUUAUGUGUAUAUAUGUAUACCUGGACACGUUCGUUGCACGUGUAUUCCAUAUUAAUUCUUAUAAAUUCAUAUUAUUUAAAAAUAACAAACUUUUAUCUUAUACAUAAUUCAAUAACAGUUUCUUAAAUUAAAAAAAUAUCAAUAUAUAGCUAAAGAUAAAAUUCCUCAUGUUCCUAAUCUCAUAGCACCUUUGUAAAUGAUAUCUCUUCGUGUAAUUUCAUCUCCAAAUAUAUUGUUUGCCACAUUUGUAUCAUUUCUCAAUAUUUUAACAAUAAAAAAGAAAAUAAUAUAAGAAGAUACAUUUAAAGAAAGUUUAUAGAACGAAAAGGAAAGUACAUUGAAUUAAAUAUAAAAGUGAGAGAAGAAGAAUAGCAAAUUGGAUAUCAUAUCAAUUGUUCUAAUGGCUCAUAAUAGUGGUUUAAAUUCCACAAUGUCAUUAUAAGUUGUUCAAAAUUGUAAAUGAAUAAAAUUAUUAAUGAUAAAAAUAGUGUGGUAGAGAAAGAAAUCAAGUGUGUGAGGCAUCUGAAAAUAAGUAAAUUCAUUAUUUAGAGCCAAUAUAUCUUAUAUCAUACUCUUUCAAAUAUGAUUUCUUUUUACACCUUUAAAAUUACUUAUUUUCUCUUUUUUCAUUUUCUUCUCUUCUGAAGUUGAUUUGCAAUCAAUCUCUGACGGGCAAUAUCCAUCUUUGUAAGUUGACUCCUAAAUAGUAACAGUGAAGAAAUGUAUUUUUCUCCAUGCCUUGAGAAUUCUUUUUUCUUUUCUCCCCAAUUAUUUUCUUUCACAAUCCACAAACUUUAGAUUUUGUAUGCAACUUAUAAUUGUUGUGAGCUUUUAUAAGGUGUAGUAAAAAUGAGAAGUCUAUACUUAAGUAUUACUUAUUAACAAUGGAAUCUCAAAGGAUCAAAACAGAUCAUAAUUACAACAUGCACUAAUUAUUUGGCAGAUGAAACAAUUCUUCCGAUUAUUACUCAAUUCAAUGCAAGUGAUCAGAUUAUAUUUAACAUAAAGCUUUGUUAUUAAUUUCAAGUUCUUCAAAUUCAUUAUGUUUUUAUCAUCUAAUGUUUAAUUAAUUAAAUAAUUUAUAACAUUUUAAUUUAGAAUAGGGGUAAAAUGGUAACCAAGCAUUUAUAUAUAUAUAAAAUAAAUCAACGAAGCAAUGUCGAAGGACACGCAUAUAGGGUGUGUCCGCUCCUGAUUAAGUUAAGGUUUUAUAUCUUUAUGAAUAUUAAAUUAUCUUCCAAAUUCUUUUUUUUUGGGGGGGGAGAAGGGGUCUACCGCAUAUGGCAAUUUAGAUCUCUAAAAUCCGCACCAAGAAGGGAAAAUCGUUGAAUCUUUUAAUUUGCUAGUAUUGUUCGCUUUGUGCUAGGCGCACACAAUUUUAAAAUAUUAUAUAAGAGUGAAAAUUAUUUUCGCUUUCCAACUUUGCUGUAAAAAUUGAACUCCUUUUCAAUUUUAAACAACUAGUAUACGUGCUCGUGUGUUGCGCAGUUAGUUGAUAAAUGCAAUUGUAAAUAUUAAUUUAUUGACAAUUUUAAAGUUUAACUUAUUAUUAAAUAAUAUUAUCAAAUAAAUGCUUCACAUUAAAUAUGUAUACAUAAUACCUUUAACAAUAUAUCAAAAUAAAAAAUAAAAAAUAAAGAUUCAAAUCCAGGGAAUUAAACACCAAUCAUCCUACAAAUAAAACUUCAAAUCAUUGAAAGUUAUAAAUAAAAAAAAGGAAAAAUAAUCAUCAAAAACUAAUGGCUUGCAAUAAUUAUUGAUAAGAGAUUUUAAUGCUUAAAAAGUUGCUAUAUCUAUUUAUCAAAUUUCACUGAUAGUGUUAAUUCUAAGUAUGAAAUUGAUUAUAGUGGCUUUGUCUCAACAACUACAAAGUCACAUCCAAAGAAGAAGGAAAAAAGUUAUAUUGUCAAAAUUUUUUAUGCAUAAAUAGAAAUAGAAAACAAAUAAAUUAUUUUACACUUUUGAUAAUAAGUGUUUCCUAAUUAUCUUUAUGUAAAUAUUUCAUUAACAUAUUCAUUUAUAUAAAAUUUAUAAAAGAGACUUCUUUUAAUACUAAUAAACAUAAACAAAUAUUAAUUAAUAAGCAUAAACAAAUAUCAACUAUUAAUAAAUAACUAAAUGUGUAUGAAUCUUUUUUAGUAAUUUGUAUAUUUAGUUCGUGAUUUAUAUUUUUUGAUUAGUUAAAAGAUCAACUGAUAAAAUAAAGUAUUUAAAUACUUAUGAUAAUAUGGUUAAACAUGAGGUAUGUAUCAAAAAAAAUAAUCUUAAAACAUAUUUAAUUUGACGUAAUUAUUUAAAAUAAUCAUAAUUAUUUAUUUCAUGAUUUUUUAUUUUUUAUUUAUUUAAAAUAAAUACUGAAAAAUAAAAUGUUAUUAACACAAAUUUUUAUUGAUUAUAGGACUGUGUAGUAAUGUAUUGGUUAUGGGGAGUUAUAAAAAUAUUUUUUUGUCUUUUCAUUAACGUAUUCAUUUAUAUAAAAUUUACAAAGAGACUCCUUUUAAAACUAAUAAGCAUAAACACAUUUUAAUUUAAUAGCAUAAAUUUAUUAUAAUUAAGUAAUUUAAUGUGGUGAGAAUGCAUGCUAAUUAGUACUAUGUGUUAAGAAUUUAUGUGUAAAAUACAUAUCGUGUAUUAUUUUUAGCUCCCAAUAUUAAACAGAACUUUAUUUCAUUCGAUUUGGACUCGGAACAUCUAAAACAAAUUAAGUUUUUUAUUUAUCUUUUUUUUCCAGAGAACUCAUUUUAUUGUUUCAUCAAUGACUUGAAUUCAUGUUUUUAGUGGAGGUACAGAGUGUUUAUCAACUGAGAUAAAGUAUCUAAAUUUUAACUAGUUUUAGAUAAGUAAAUUUUACCGCAAAAAAAAUCAAAUAUUUCAUAUCUGAAUACACAAUCAAAAUUAAAAGAUUUGACCUUUCAAAUUUUUUUUGUGUCUCGUAAACUAAAAAAACGAAUAAUAUUUAAGUAGUUAUGGUUCCUCAUGAAUAAAUUAUAUACGGAGUUCAAUAUAUUUCAUAAACGACACAUUUCAUUACAAUAACAACAUAUUCUAUAUAGUUCUACGUAUAAAAUGUGAUUUGAAAAUAAUAAAAUGUACGUAGACCUUACUCUGCUACGGAGGUAGAGAGGUAACGACACAAUUGAUCAUCAUUGCUUAGAAAAACUUACCUAAUUAACAUUUAAAAAUUAUUAUAGUUAACUAAUUAAUUGUCCUCUCAUCUGUUCCAAUUGACUGGACAGAUUUUAGUUAUAAUAUGUUAGUGAAAAAUUACAAAAUUACAAGAUUACAAUUGAAAAUAAAAAUGAAGAAAUAAAUCUCUUCAGAUUGAGGCGUGGAUAUGUCGCUCUCUUUAAGGAGAUUCAAGCCCACUUAAGCAAAUGUUUUUCAUCGGUCCAACAGUAGUCCUCUUUACUUGUCCCCUCCAGGAUACAACAGCCUAAUCACAAAGUGUAACUCAACAAAUUUUGGACAAGAGUUGAGUUCAAACCUCCACAAAAAGAACACCUUCCUUCAACUAAUAAAAACUCUCUUUUUGGACAAACUUUAUGCACUAUGAUCUAUAUUUUUCUUGUGUGUCAACCAAACAAAGACCACCACUAUUUAUAGUUGCGGAUGUCUUCCUAGCAAUGAAUAGGAAGAUAAUGGGUAGUAAAUAAUGAAGAUAAAUGGUAUUAGAAAUUACAUAUGUUAUAAGGUAUAAUGGAGAAAUAAAGAAUGAGAUAACAAAGAUUGAAUGAAAAAGAAUUAGUGGUCAUGGUUGACCACCUUCUGCCACUAACAGUAACCUCCAAUGGCCAACGUUUUGUAACCAUCAAAUAAAGGGUAAUAAUGCCUAAAUAACACAAGUGAGUAAUGCCUAAGGUUGCAGCAAUGAAAUAGAGAUUGCUCCAACACUUGUCAUUUGCCUCUCUCCCUAGAGAAUUUCGCUUGUCACUCUCCCAGAUCUCGCUCGUCACUCUCCCUCGCCCUCUCUCACUUUAUACAACACAAUGUAUAAAUUGCGUUUGUGUUUGUAUAAAGCGAGAGAAAACUGUAUAUAAAAAUACAAAUACAUAUAUUUUUGUCCUAUACACUAAUAAUUAUACAAAUACAGAUAUUUCCCUACCAGUUCUCUUUUGCCUUCCUCUCGUUCUCGCUUUAUACAAAUACAAUGUAUAAUUUGUGUUGUAUAAAUCGAGAGAGAGAGAUUUGAUAUACAAAUGUUUAUUUUGAUUCAAUUGUAUACAAAUUCAAAUUUUAUGCAGAUAUACAAACACAAUCAAGGAUACAUAUACAUAGUAGUUACAUAUAUGCUGGUCAACAUUUUAAUAUUAAUAUUUUAUAUAUUAAUUUGUUAAAAGUUUGGAGUCAAAUGGUGCCUUUGCUGUCAAGUUAUCCGUUGGUGGUAAUUCAUUUGUCUUAACAAUUGGAAAUAUAUUUGGAGCAUUACUCCAUUUGGAGUAAGUGCUGAUGUUACUGACUGUUUCUCUUGCAGCAUCGUUUAGUGGCAUCUUGGCCAUAAGUUCUCCAUAUUAUUUCUCCAUUAUCUCACUCUUUAUUCCUCCAUUAUACCUUGUAACAUAUGUAACUCGUAAGAUCACUAUCUUCACUAUUUACUACACCAUUAUCUUCCUAUUCAUGGCUAGGAAGACUUCUUCUAGUAUAAAUAGUGGUGGUCUUCAUUUGGUUUGGGAGAUACAAUACACACAAGAAAAAUAUAGAAUGCAUAAGUUUGUCAAAAAGAUAGUUCUUAUUAGUUGGAGGGAGGUGUUCUUUUUUGUGGAGCUUUGGACUCAACUCUUGUCCAGAGUUGUUGAGUUAUACUUUGUGAAGGCUGUUGUAUCCUGGAGGGGACAAGUCAAGAAGAAGUACUGCUGGACCGGUGAAAACAUUUGCUGCAGUGGGCUUGAAUCUCCUUAAAGAGAGCGAGAUAUCCGCGCCUCAGCCUGAAGAGAUUUAUUUUCUUCAUUUUAUUUUUCAAUUGUAAUCUUGUAUUUUUGUUAUCUUGUAAGUUUUCACUAACAAUUUUAAGGAGAUUCAAAAUGGCUACAAUUGAAAAAAAUGCGGAUGUCAAGAUGGGAGACCUUAACAAGCCAUUUCGGUUCAAUGGUAACCAUUUUAAGAGAUGGAAGGGUAAAGUACUUUUCUACUUGAGUCUUCUCAAUGUUUCUUAUGUGUUAACUGAGAAGAAUCCUAAUAAAAUAGACAUCACCUUUAUGAAUGAUGAUGAAACUAUUUCUCAUCUAGAGAAAGUGGAAAAGUACGAUGGUGAUUCCUAUAAGUGUCGGUAUUAUAUUCUUAAUUGUCUAUCUGAUAAUUUUUAUGAUUAUUAUGAUAGAACUUACUCUAGUGCAAAGAAAAUUUGGAAAGCAUUGCAGAGUAAGUAUGAUACCGAAGAGGCUGGAACGAAAAAAUAUGCAGCUAGUCGAUUUUUUCGUUUCCAAAUGAUGGACAACAAAUCAGUGGUAGACCAAGCGCAAGACUUUAUAAUGAUUGUUGGAGAGCUUAGGUCCGAGGAGGUUAAAAUUAGAGAUAACCUUAUUGUUUGUGGCAUAGUGGAUAAACUUCCACCUUCUUGGAAGGAAUUUCAAAAAACUAUGCUCCACAAACAAAAGGAAACCUCUCUUGAAACCUUGAUAAUGAAAAUCCGCAUGGAAGAAGAGGCAAGAGGCCAAGAUGCACUUUUACAAACAGAAGAGAACAACAUCACAACGAAGGUAAAUUUAAUUACUUCAAAUAAUGCUACUCCUGAAUCUCACAAAAAUACUUCUUUGAAGCCUAAGAAGAAAAAAUUCAAGAAAAAUAAUGGUAGACCUCCCAAGAAAAAUAAUGGUGAAAAUAACCAAGCACAAAAUCAACAAGUUCAAGACAAAGGACCGUGCUUUGUUUGUGGCAAGAGUGGGCAUAUUGCUCGAUUUUGCAGAUUCCAAAAAUGUGGUCCNNNNNNNNNNNNNNNNNNNNNNNNNNNNNNNNNNNNNNNNNNNNNNNNNNNNNNNNNNNNNNNNNNNNNNNNNNNNNNNNNNNNNNNNNNNNNNNNNNNNNNNNNNNNNNNNNNNNNNNNNNNNNNNNNNNNNNNNNNNNNNNNNNNNNNNNNNNNNNNNNNNNNNNNNNNNNNNNNNNNNNNNNNNNNNNNNNNNNNNNNNNNNNNNNNNNNNNNNNNNNNNNNNNNNNNNNNNNNNNNNNNNNNNNNNNNNNNNNNNNNNNNNNNNNNNNNNNNNNNNNNNNNNNNNNNNNNNNNNNNNNNNNNNNNNNNNNNNNNNNNNNNNNNNNNNNNNNNNNNNNNNNNNNNNNNNNNNNNNNNNNNNNNNNNNNNNNNNNNNNNNNNNNNNNNGUCUAAUCAAUAUGUNNNNNNNNNNNNNNNNNNNNNNNNNNNNNNNNNNNNNNNNNNNNNNNNNNNNNNNNNNNNNNNNNNNNNNNNNNNNNNNNNNNNNNNNNNNNNNNNNNNNNNNNNNNNNNNNNNNNNNNNNNNNNNNNNNNNNNNNNNNNNNNNNNNNNNNNNNNNNNNNNNNNNNNNNNNNNNNNNNNNNNNNNNNNNNNNNNNNNNNNNNNNNNNNNNNNNNNNNNNNNNNNNNNNNNNNNNNNNNNNNNNNNNNNNNNAGUUUUAGGGUUAAUCCCAAUGAUUAAAAUACAUUUUGAAAUGUGUGAGGCUUGUAGUAAAGCCAAAAUCACUAAAAGGCCUCAUUUUCAAGUUGAAAGAAAAACUGAUUUGUUAGAUUUAGUUCAUACUGAUAUUUGUGAACUUGGUGGAAUUUUAACUCGUGGAGGUAAUAGAUAUUUUAUCACUUUCAUUGAUGAUUUUUCUAAGUUUACAUAUGUUUACUUGAUGAAAAAUAAAAGUGAUACUUUUGAAAAUUUCAAAACUAUCUUCAUGCGGUUGAAAAUCAGUUUGGAAGAAAAAUAAAAAGAAUUAGAAGUGAUAGAGGCCGUGAAUAUGAGUCAAAUGAGUUUAAUUCUUUUGUUAGAUCAUUGGGAAUAAUUCAUGAAACUACUCCUCCUUACUCUCCUUCAUCUAAUGGAGUAGCGGAAAGGAAAAAUAGAACUUUGGUUGCCAUGCUUAUUGAGUCACAUGCACCUUUAAAUUUUUGGGGUGAAGCUAUUUUAACUGCUUGUUAUGCGUUGAAUCGUGUGCCUCAUAAAAAGUCUAAAUUGACACCUUUUGAAUUUUGGAAAGGUUACAAGCCAAGUUUGGGAUAUCUAUUAACGCAAUUUAAAUUAAAAUUCUAUUCAACUGUCUCCAAAAGCAUCACGUCUUGUUUACACUUGAAAUUAAAAAAUUACCUUAUAAGUUGUUAAAAAGAAAAUUUUCGUAGUAGAUUUUCAUGUGAGAGAUCAAACACUUAAACAUCAAUUAAAGAAUAUGAUGCAAAAAAUCAAGAAACUAAAUGGAAAGAGCUUUGAUCUUCAAGGGGAUUAAAACUUGUGAAGAAGAGUCCCUAUUACAUUACAACAUCAAUUUGACAUCAAAGUCCUAUAUUUCUUAUUAACAAUUUGCAUUAAGCCUAGUGUUUUAAUGAAGGACAAAAAGUUCAAUCAACAUUUCUAGAAAAGGGUCUUAUAGUAUAAUUGAUUGAUAGAUACUAGAAUUGCUAAUGUGCUUCUUCAAGGAACUCUGUCACUUAACAUUGAGCUCCAAUGAACAUUGAGAUGUUAUCCGCGAGUGUGUUGCACACAUGUACGUAUUUGGCUGAAUUUUCCAAAAAUGUAAAAAUAGCACAGCUGAACCAUGUAUUGAUGUUUAAUUAAAUGAUACAAGUCUUUGGUCACUAAAUGGUCCCCGUUUUUUACAACCACCAAUUGAGAAAGCAAUGAAUAGGCACUAAUUACAACUUCUUGUUUGCAAAUUUACUAGCAAAAGAGAGAGAAAUCAGUGAUCAUUCUUGUUUGCAAAUUACUCUUAGCUUUAACAGGUAAAGUGAAAUUGUUAGUAAUUUAACAUACAAACAUUCAUCUCCUGAAAUUUCUUAAAAUCAUUUUGUGUUUUGAUUUGCAGAUUUCAGUAAAAUGGAGGUUGGCUUAGCAGUUGGUGGUGCAUUUAUCUCUUCAGCUUUGAAUGUUCUCUUUGAUAGG
rnacentral:lncRNA from 1 species